rnacentral:misc_RNA from 1 species
AUGCCGUGACUUCGCAAUCUCUCUCUGAGAAUGCGUACGAGCUGCACGACGAGAAUGGGCACAGCUGAAAUACUGCAUCCGGAAACUUUUAGGUGUAGACGUGGUAAGAGCGAUCCUUCGUUAUCGGGCUCAAGGGGUCCCCUCACACUGCCACGAAGCUGUGCCAGAUCGCUGUCCUUGGGCUAGAACGCACGGAGGGGCUGCCUGUGGGGACUCGAGGCCGCAUUGCCACAGAAGAAAGAAGGGUGUCUAGCGAGACGUGGAUAAGCGGAAUGUGUGCGAGUGCGCCGGGGAGAGCGCGAGCGAGUCGCUAGGCGACGCACAACCAGCAGGGAGGAGCGCACAUUUCUCUUCCCCCAACCCCUGCGGGCUUAGCUGAGGGGUAACUAAAACAAAGCGCGAUGAACAAGAGCCAGAAAAGGGGCUGUGCUUCUACGUUCCCAUGAAAGAAUCUGUGAAUCGACAUCUGCGGACGCGCAUCCCAUGCCAAGGCCCUCUUGUGCCCCUUUUACCUUGGUGGUGCGGCGCUCGCGAGCGCGAUGAUACCCCUCGGAGGGUAUGUGACGCUUCGCCGAAGCUCCGCGGUGCAGGCGCAGCCCCAGCCAUGUGUAUCUAUUGCUCAUGUUUUUGUGCAACCCCCCCCCCCCCACCCACCCACCCUUUUUUUUUCAUGGCACCGCCCCCUUCUACUGUGGGUAUUAAUGCCAG